AAUCAACGCUGGCGGCGUGCCUAACACAUGCAAGUCGAACGCGAAAGUGGAGCAAUCCAUGAGUAGAGUGGCAAACGGGUGAGUAACACGUGGGUGACCUGCCUUCGAGUGGGGGAUAACGUUUCGAAAGGAACGCUAAUACCGCAUAACAUGCUGUCUUUUAACAGAUGGACAUCAAAGCCGGGGACCGCAAGGCCUGGCGCUUGAAGAGGGGCCCGCGCCUGAUUAGCUAGUUGGUGGGGUAAUGGCUCACCAAGGCAACGAUCAGUAUCCGGCCUGAGAGGGCGGACGGACACACUGGGACUGAGACACGGCCCAGACUCCUACGGGAGGCAGCAGUGGGAAUUGUUCGCAAUGGGCGCAAGCCUGACGACGCAACGCCGCGUGGAGGAUGAAGAUCUUCGGGUCGUAAACUCCUUUCGAUCGAGACGAAUGGCCCUUGGGCUAAUACCCUGAGGGAGUGACGGUACCGAGAGAAGAAGCCCCCGGCUAAACUCCGUGCCAGCAGCCGACGG
rnacentral:rRNA from 1 species